rnacentral:rRNA from 1 species
GACGUAGGAGGCGAGCGUUGUCCGGAUUCAUUGGGCGUAAAGAGCACGCAGGCGGUUUGGCAAGUCGGAUGUGAAAACCCGGAGCUCAACUCCGGACCUGCAUCCGAAACUGCCCGACUAGAGGUAGGUAGGGGAGAUCGGAAUUCCUGGUGUAGCCGGUGAAAUGCGCAGAUAUCAGGAGGAACACCGGUGGCGAAGGCGGGUCUCUGGGCCGAUACUGACGCUGAGGAGCGAAAGCGUGGGGAGCGAACAGG